GAUGAACGCUGGCGGCGUGCCUAAUACAUGCAAGUCGAGCGAACGGACGAGAAGCUUGCUUUUCUGAUGUUAGCGGCGGACGGGUGAGUAACACGUGGAUAACCUACCUAUAAGACUGGGAUAACUUCGGGAAACCGGAGCUAAUACCGGAUAAUAUUUUGAACCGCAUGGUUCAAAAGUGAAAGACGGUCUUGCUGUCACUUAUAGAUGGAUCCGCGCUGGAUUAGCUAGUUGGUAAGGUAACGGCUUACCAAGGCAACGAUGCAUAGCCGACCUGAGAGGGUGAUCGGCCACACUGGAACUGAGACACGGUCCAGACUCCUACGGGAGGCAGCAGUAGGGAAUCUUGCGCAAUGGGCGCAAGCCUGACGGAGCAACGCCGCGUGAGUGAUGAAGGUCUUCGGAUCGUAAAAUUCUGUUAUUAGGGACGAACAUAUGUGUAAGUAACUGUGCACAUCUUGACGGUACCUAAUCAGAAAGCCACGGCUAACUACGUG
rnacentral:rRNA from 1 species